rnacentral:rRNA from 1 species
AAGAAUGCCCAUCUCAAGGUGCUAGAAGGUGCCGAAGAAAGGUUGCAGCUCGUCAAGGCUGACCUGCUGGACUAUCACAGCGUAGCGUCGGCGAUUGCCGGCUGUGACGGCGUCUUCCAUGUCGCCUGCCCUGUCCCCUCCGGCCGAUCAACCGACCACGAGGCAGAGAUCAUAGCUCCUGCUGUAACAGGCACACUGAACAUGCUGAAGGCCUGCCAUGAGGCGAAAGUUAAGCGAGUAGUCAUGGUGUCUUCAGGUGCUGCAGUGGUCGCUAAUCCUAACUGGCCCAAGGGCAAAGCCUGUGACGAAGAGAGCUGGUCAGACGAGGGCUACUGCAGAAAGAAUGGGGAUUGGUAUUACCUUUCCAAAACACUAGCGGAGCGCGAGGCUUUUGCUUAUGCAGCAAAAACUGGGUUGGACAUUGUAACUAUUUGCCCAUCAUUGGUAAUUGGACCCUUGAUGCAGUCUACAGUAAAUUCGAGCAGUAAAGUUCUCCUUAAUUAUUUGAAAGGUGGGUGUGUUAUGUUAGACUUCUCUUUGUUUUCAUUAUAUAAAAUUAUGGACAUCAAAAAGGAUCUCUGCACUUGGUUUCACGUUUCCAACUGA